UAGGGAAUCUUCCGCAAUGGGCGAAAGCCUGACGGAGCAACGCCGCGUGAGUGAUGAAGGUCUUCGGAUCGUAAAACUCUGUUAUUAGGGAAGAACAAAUGUGUAAGUAACUAUGCACGUCUUGACGGUACCUAAUCAGAAAGCCACGGCUAACUACGUGCCAGCAGCCGCGGUAAUACGUAGGUGGCAAGCGUUAUCCGGAAUUAUUGGGCGUAAAGCGCGCGUAGGCGGUUUUUUAAGUCUGAUGUGAAAGCCCACGGCUCAACCGUGGAGGGUCAUUGGAAACUGGAAAACUUGAGUGCAGAAGAGGAAAGUGGAAUUCCAUGUGUAGCGGUGAAAUGCAGAGAUAUGGAGGAACACCAGUGGCGAAGGCGACUUUCUGGUCUGUAACUGACGCUGAUGUGCGAAAGCGUGGGGAUCAAACAGG
rnacentral:rRNA from 1 species